UACGUAGGUGGCAAGCGUUGUUCGGAAUUAUUGGGCGUAAAGGGCGCGUAGGCGGUUUGUUAAGUCGGUCGUGAAAGCCCGGGGCUCAACCCCGGAGGGUCGACCGAUACUGGCAGACUAGAGUACAGAAGAGGUAACUGGAAUUCCCGGUGUAGCGGUGAAAUGCGCAGAUAUCAGGAGGAACACCGGUGGCGAAGGCGGGUCUCUGGGCCGAUACUGACGCUGAGGAGCGAAAGCGUGGGGAGCAAACAGG
rnacentral:rRNA from 1 species